rnacentral:tRNA from 1 species
CCGGAAUAGCUCAGUCGGUAGAGCAGAGGACUGAA